rnacentral:rRNA from 1 species
GAUGAACGCUAGCGGCGUGCUUAACACAUGCAAGUCGAACGAUGAAGCCCAGCUUGCUGGGUGGAUUAGUGGCGAACGGGUGAGUAACACGUGAGUAACCUGCCCUUAACUCUGGGAUAAGCCUGGGAAACUGGGUCUAAUACCGGAUAGGAGCGUCCACCGCAUGGUGGGUGUUGGAAAGAUUUAUCGGUUUUGGAUGGACUCGCGGCCUAUCAGCUUGUUGGUGAGGUAAUGGCUCACCAAGGCGACGACGGGUAGCCGGCCUGAGAGGGUGACCGGCCACACUGGGACUGAGACACGGCCCAGACUCCUACGGGAGGCAGCAGUGGGGAAUAUUGCACAAUGGGCGCAAGCCUGAUGCAGCGACGCCGCGUGAGGGAUGACGGCCUUCGGGUUGUAAACCUCUUUCAGUAGGGAAGAAGCGAAAGUGACGGUACCUGCAGAAGAAGCACCGGCUAACUACGUG